rnacentral:misc_RNA from 1 species
GAUGAAGAACGCAGCAAAAUGCGAUAAGUAAUGUGAAUUGCAGAAUUCAGUGAAUCAUCGAAUCUUUGAACGCACAUUGCGCCCGCUGGUAUUCCGGCGGGCAUGCCUGUUCGAGCGUCAUUUCAACCCUCAAGCCCCCGGGUUUGGUGUUGGGGAUCGGCUCUGCCCUUCUGGGCGGUGCCGCCCCCGAAAUAUAUUGGCGGUCUCGCUGCAGCCUCCAUUGCGUAGUAGCUAACACCUCGCAACUGGAACGCGGCGCGGCCAUGCCGUAAAACCCCAACUUCUGAAUGUUGACCUCGGAUCAGGUAGGAAUACCCGCUGAACUUAAGCAUAUCAAUAAGCGGAGGA